rnacentral:lncRNA from 1 species
AAAGGACAAGCUUUUGAGCUGGAAUCUGCGUCAUUUUUCAGACAUUUCCAAUGAGGUGUGUGGUAAGGUAUGUCUUCCUCAUCUUUCUCUUUCCUCCUGUUAAAAUGUAACGCUUGAAUUUCUUUAGACUUUCUUUACUGGAGAGGUACCUCAAUGUGUGAACACUCGUGUGGGCUUCACUGUUCCUUGGGCAGAAGUUUUAGCCCAGAUAAGGGCCAUUGGAGGAGGCCUGACAAGAAUGUCGACCCUCUGCUCUCCUUGAUCAAGUGCCUUUCAGCAGAUUUUUCACGACAGAAUAAUAGUUGUCUGUCUAUCUGAUGAAGAUUGGUUUUGAAAUGCAUCCCAUCUCUGACUGGAGGGAAUGUGGCCAGGACAAGAGGCUUCCAGGGUUAAAAGCAGAUGAGUGUCUAUCCGAGUGAGUAUCCUCAAGUGUU